rnacentral:lncRNA from 1 species
UACUGAAUUACAAGGAAAAGUCAUGCAACAGCCUGCUGUUCCAUGUUUCUUCACAGUGUGAUGAUGAAACUGUUUUCCUCACUUCCAGAUCUUCAUAGGAGGUAAGUGUUGAAAUAAGGCCUCCAAGCAAAGUUAACGCUCCCUGGUAUAGAGAAUCAUAUACAUGU